AUUGAAUCAAUAUAGAUGUACUAGUAACACCCGGUGAUGUUGAAUAGUAUCAAAGCGCCAUAAUCAAUCUUCUAAAAUAAAGAAAAGAGAUAACGGCCCUAGAAGUUUACAGUUACAUGUGAUUGAUUAGGGAUGGAGGAAUAUAGGGACAAGGGGGGAAUGAGAGGGAGUCUGAGUAGAUAGCUUGCUCAAAUGUGCCUUCGUGGGCACCCCUUACCCCAAACGAUAUCCCUGUCUGGUUACAAAGUAUAAUCCCUCUACCCAAUGUUAAAAAUAAAAUCAGUUAGAUAGAACACUAAGUACUGUAAGUGGAAAAAUCUGGUUCCCCAUAGCUGCUAGGAUUGAUGCCGUGCCCAGGUCAUAAAGAUAACGUCAAACACCAAAUUCCUGCAGGCACUACAAUAGUUGGAUGCUAAUGGGAGCAGCCGAUUCCCUAAUACACGUUUCGCUAUUUCAGCUCAUCAGAGCUUUCGACUAUAGAAAUCGGC